GUGUCAGCCGCCGCGGUAAUACGGAGGGUGCAAGCGUUGUCCGGAUUUAUUGGGUUUAAAGGGUGCGUAGGCGGUUUAUUAAGUCAGUGGUGAAAGACGGUCGCUCAACGAUUGCAGUGCCAUUGAUACUGGUAGACUUGAGUAUGAUUGAGGUAGCUGGAAUGGAUAGUGUAGCGGUGAAAUGCAUAGAUAUUAUCCAGAACACCAAUUGCGUAGGCAAGUUACUAAGUCAUAACUGACGCUGAGGCACGAAAGUGUGGGUAUCAAACAGGAUUAGAAACCCCCGUAGUCC
rnacentral:rRNA from 1 species